UUGGAAAUUUUAGAGUUUUGACUCCAUCUGAAAUCGACGAUUACUUGGGCAAAGUGGAAUAUAGCUGGUUUUUUCCCAUAUCCUUUAGCAUCCUGAACUGCUUCAACC